UAACUUUGCCGCCGCUAAGGUGAUGUAAACAGACAUCCGUCUUUUUACAUAAAAGGGAAUCCGGUUAAAGUCCGGAACAGUGCCCGCUACUGUAAGCUCUAUUCAGUUAACAGUUAACAGUCAUCAGUUAACAAUGUUUCUGAAAAAAGUCUUUGAACAAGACCAAAUACCACUGAUUGAAAGUUACCAUGCAUCAGUCAACUGUUAUCAAUUCUUUGUUAACUGUUAACUGCUCACUGUUAACUGAAUGUCGGGAAGGCCGUUCAAAGAUGGAGUAAGUCAGGAAACCUGCCUAGCAUACAAUAAAUUA
rnacentral:ncRNA from 2 species